rnacentral:rRNA from 1 species
CCUACGGGGGGCUGCAGUGAGGAAUAUUGGUCAAUGGACGAGAGUCUGAACCAGCCAAGUAGCGUGAAGGAUGACUGCCCUAUGGGUUGUAAACUUCUUUUAUAUGGGAAUAAACUGUUCCACGCGUGGGUGUUUGUAUGUACCAUAUGAAUAAGGAUCGGCUAACUCCGUGCCAGCAGCCGCGGUAAUACGGAGGAUUCGAGCGUUAUCCGGAUUUAUUGGGUUUAAAGGGUGCGUAGGCGGACUGUUAAGUUAGAGGUGAAAUCCCGAGGCUUAACCCCGGGCUAGCCUUUGAUACUGUCCGGCUAGAGAGGACGUGAGGUAUGCGGAAUGCACGGUGUAGCGGUGAAAUGCUUAGAGAU